rnacentral:tRNA from 1 species
GGGGGGCUGGCGCAACGGUAGCGCGGUAAGUCACAGCAAAGUGAUCCAUCUCCUCCAACAUGCAACUAAUUCCCUCAUUAGUCAGAUUCCAGUACACCGGAAUCUCCUGAAGGUUAAGGGUUCAAAUCCCUUGUCCCUCA